rnacentral:misc_RNA from 1 species
ACACCACUCAAGCUCAGUUUGGUAUUGGGUCCCGCCAGCAAUGGCCAACCCCAAACACAGUGGCGGCACCGUCGGGUCCCGAGCGUAGUAAACACCUCGCUAAGGGUUCCCCCGGUUGACGACCAACAACCCCAAUUUUUUCA